rnacentral:telomerase_RNA from 14 species
UUAUACCCGCAUAUCAUUCAGACCCUUUAUGGAACUGUCAUUCAACCCCAAAAAUCUAGUGCAAAUAUUGUCUUAAUUACUUAGGCUAAAAGAAAUAAGUAUUAAAGCGGGACAAGGCAUCGACAUUUGAUACAAAUAUUGAUCAAUGGAUGUCUUAUUUUU